ACCUAUCUAUAAAUAAUCUGCUAAACUUCUUGACACGUGGGUAUAAAAGCGCGUGCAGGCUGCCCCAUAGAUGAGUAUUCCCACCAUGUACUUUAAACUGCUGGUAUUGGUUUCUGUUGGUCUCCUGUGCAUCAGUGUUGUCUCAGGUCACACAAAUAGAUAUUGCAAUUUUUGCUAUGGUGAGUCCAACGGGUCCUCUCCAGACUUUUCGAACUGUCGUAACUUUGUUAAUGUUACCAAAGUUUACGACUGUACAUCAAAUCAUUAUUGCGUCUCUUUUCAUGAAACUGUAAAAACAGACAAAGCUACUUAUACCGUUGCGAAGAGAACAUGUAGCAACGAUUGUGCUUGGUACAAGAAAAAAGGCAGAGCAGACCUACAUUGUUCGCAGUGCGAAACCGAUUAUUGCAAUAAGGAGAAAUUUUGAUCAAUAAGACGAAACUUCUAUAAGGAUUAUGAACAUAUUUCUGGAUACUACUAUUACUAUGUUAUUGUGUUUUUUUCU